AUUGAACGCUGGCGGAAUGCUUUACACAUGCAAGUCGAACGGCAGCACGGGGGCAACCCUGGUGGCGAGUGGCGAACGGGUGAGUAAUACAUCGGAACGUGCCCAGUCGUGGGGGAUAACGCAGCGAAAGCUGUGCUAAUACCGCAUACGAUCUACGGAUGAAAGCGGGGGACUCGCAAGGGCCUCGCGCGAUUGGAGCGGCCGAUGGCAGAUUAGGUAGUUGGUGGGGUAAAGGCUCACCAAGCCUGCGAUCUGUAGCUGGUCUGAGAGGACGACCAGCCACACUGGGACUGAGACACGGCCCAGACUCCUACGGGAGGCAGCAGUGGGGAAUUUUGGACAAUGGGGGCAACCCUGAUCCAGCCAUGCCGCGUGAGUGAAGAAGGCCUUCGGGUUGUAAAGCUCUUUCGGCCGGAACGAAAUCGCGUACGUGAAUAACGUGCGUGGAUGACGGUACUGGAAGAAGAAGCACCGGCUAACUACGUG
rnacentral:rRNA from 1 species